rnacentral:rRNA from 1 species
AUUGAACGCUGGCGGCAGGCCUAACACAUGCAAGUCGAGCGGAUGAAGGGAGCUUGCUCCUGGAUUCAGCGGCGGACGGGUGAGUAAUGCCUAGGAAUCUGCCUGGUAGUGGGGGAUAACGUCCGGAAACGGGCGCUAAUACCGCAUACGUCCUGAGGGAGAAAGUGGGGGAUCUUCGGACCUCACGCUAUCAGAUGAGCCUAGGUCGGAUUAGCUAGUUGGUGGGGUAAAGGCCUACCAAGGCGACGAUCCGUAACUGGUCUGAGAGGAUGAUCAGUCACACUGGAACUGAGACACGGUCCAGACUCCUGCGGGAGGCAGCAGUGGGGAAUAUUGGGCAAUGGGCGAAAGCCUGAUCCAGCCAUGCCGCGUGUGUGAAGAAGGUCUUCGGAUUGUAAAGCACUUUAAGUUGGGAGGAAGGGCAGUAAGUUAAUACCUUGCUGUUUUGACGUUACCAACAGAAUAAGCACCGGCUAACUUCGUG